GUACACACCGCCCGUCGCUACUACCGAUUGAAUGUCUUAGUGAGGCCUCUGGAGCUGGGCUUUGGGAGACUGGAGCAUGGCGAAACUGGACAAACUUGGACAUUUAGAGGAAGUAAAAGUCGUAACAAGGUUUCCGUAGGUGAACCUGCAGAAGGAUCA
rnacentral:rRNA from 1 species